CAGAGUUGCAAAACUCCCAAACCAUCGUGAACGUUACCUAACCGUUGCUUCGGCGGGCGGCGCCUAGCGCCCACCCGGCCCCCCAGCGGGGCGCCCGCCGGAGGAUACCAAACUCUUGUCAACAUAUGGCCUCUCUGAGUCUUCUGUACUGAAUAAGUCA
rnacentral:misc_RNA from 1 species